rnacentral:rRNA from 1 species
GUGCCUAAUACAUGCAAGUCGAGCGAACGGACGAGAAGCUUGCUUCUCUGAUGUUAGCGGCGGACGGGUGAGUAACACGUGGAUAACCUACCUAUAAGACUGGGAUAACUUCGGGAAACCGGAGCUAAUACCGGAUAAUAUUUUGAACCGCAUGGUUCAAAAGUGAAAGACGGUCUUGCUGUCACUUAUAGAUGGAUCCGCGCUGCAUUAGCUAGUUGGUAAGGUAACGGCUUACCAAGGCAACGAUGCAUAGCCGACCUGAGAGGGUGAUCGGCCACACUGGAACUGAGACACGGUCCAGACUCCUACGGGAGGCAGCAGUAGGGAAUCUUCCGCAAUGGGCGAAAGCCUGACGGAGCAACGCCGCGUGAGUGAUGAAGGUCUUCGGAUCGUAAAACUCUGUUAUUAGGGAAGAACAUAUGUGUAAGUAACUGUGCACAUCUUGACGGUACCUAAUCAGAAAGCCACGGCUAACUACGUGCCAGCAGCCGCGGUAAUACGUAGGUGGCAAGCGUUAUCCGGAAUUAUUGGGCGUAAAGCGCGCGUAGGCGGUUUUUUAAGUCUGAUGUGAAAGCCCACGGCUCAACCGUGGAGGGUCAUUGGAAACUGGAAAACUUGAGUGCAGAAGAGGAAAGUGGAAUUCCAUGUGUAGCGGUGAAAUGCGCAGAGAUAUGGAGGAACACCAGUGGCGAAGGCGACUUUCUGGUC